rnacentral:rRNA from 1 species
UACGCAGGGGGCUAGCGUUGCUCGGAAUCACUGGGCGUAAAGCGCACGUAGGCGGAUUGUUAAGUCAGGGGUGAAAUCCUGGAGCUCAACUCCAGAACUGCCUUCGAUACUGGCGAUCUUGAGUCCGGGAGAGGUGAGUGGAACUCCGAGUGUAGAGGUGAAAUUCGUAGAUAUUCGGAAGAACACCAGUGGCGAAGGCGGCUCACUGGCCCGGUACUGACGCUGAGGUGCGAAAGCGUGGGGAGCAAACAGG